rnacentral:sRNA from 1 species
GAUGUCUGGGGCUGCUUGGCGUGGGACUCCUCUGGCGCUGGUGCGGUCGUCGCGCAUGCGCGGGGGUGGGCAAGGCAGUGGUCAGCGACCCGCAGUCCAUCUGACUCCUGCUUCCCGGGUGUUGCUCGUGACAAGGAAGAUGGGGAGCCAAAGACCAAGCAUCUCAGAGAAGAGGAGGAAGAAGGCGAGAAGCACAGGGAACUUAGGCUGCGGAACUAUGUCCCGGAGGAUGAGGACCUGAAGAAGAGGAGGGUGCCCCAGGCCAAACCGGUUGCAGUGGAGGAGAAGGUGAAGGAGCAGCUGGAGGCCGCCAAGCCCGAGCCCGUCAUCGAGGAGGUGGACCUGGCCAACCUUGCUCCUCGGAAGCCUGACUGGUGAGUGUUGCCCGUGCAUGGCGGGUGCAGGCUGACUCGGGGACUCUUGGUGCCAGCAUGGGCCUGGGGCUUGGCCCUUCUUGCCAUCACAGUGCAGAGACUGGCAGUACAGACAUAGAGUUACACGAGAUAGCUACUGUUGGAAACCAGUGCUGAGGAGGACAUAAGUGGUGGGAUGAGAGGGGA